rnacentral:tRNA from 1 species
AACAAAAUAGCUUAAGUUUAAAAGUUUCUAUUUUGCGUAUAGAGGAUAGUUAGAUAAACUUUUUGUUA